UACGAAGGGGGCUAGCGUUGUUCGGAAUUACUGGGCGUAAAGCGCACGUAGGCGGAUAUUUAAGUCAGGGGGUGAAAUCCCAGAGCUCAACUCUGGAACUGCCUUUGAUACUGGGUAUCUUGAGUAUGGAAGAGGUGAGUGGAAUUCCGAGUGUAGAGGUGAAAUUCGUAGAUAUUCGGAGGAACACCAGUGGCGAAGGCGGCUCACUGGCCCGGUACUGACGCUGAGGUGCGAAAGCGUGGGGAGCAAA
rnacentral:rRNA from 1 species